UGACUGGGGCGGUCUCCUCCUAAAGAGUAACGGAGGAGCACGAAGGUUGGCUAAUCCUGGUCGGACAUCAGGAGGUUAGUGCAAUGGCAUAAGCCAGCUUGACUGCGAGCGUGACGGCGCGAGCAGGUGCGAAAGCAGGUCAUAGUGAUCCGGUGGUUCUGAAUGGAAGGGCCAUCGCUCAACGGAUAAAAGGUACUCCGGGGAUAACAGGCUGAUACCGCCCAAGAGUUCAUAUCGACGGCGGUGUUUGGCACCUCGAUGUCGGCUCAUCACAUCCUGGGGCUGAAGUAGGUCCCAAGGGUAUGGCUGUUCGCCAUUUAAAGUGGUACGCGAGCUGGGUUUAGAACGUCGUGAGACAGUUCGGUCCCUAUCUGCCGUGGGCGCUGGAGAACUGAGGGGGGCUGCUCCUAGUACGAGAGGACCGGAGUGGACGCAUCACUGGUGUUCGGGUUGUCAUGCCAAUGGCACUGCCCGGUAGCUAAAUGCGGAAGAGAUAAGUGCUGAAAGCAUCUAAGCACGAAACUUGCCCCGAGAUGAGUUCUCCCUGAGACUUAGAGUCUCCUGAAGGAACGUUGAAGACGACGACGUUGAUAGGCCGGGUGUGUAAGCGCAGCGAUGCGUUGAGCUAACCGGUACUAAUGAACCGUGAGGCUUAACCUUACA
rnacentral:rRNA from 1 species